rnacentral:rRNA from 1 species
UACAGAGGCCCCAAGCGUUACUGAGAAUCACUGGGUUUAAAGGGUGCGUAGGUGGCGCGUUAAGUCCGUUGUGAAAUCCCUGGGCUCAACCCAGGAAAUGCUUCGGAUACUGGCGUGCUUGAGGCCGGUAGGGGUCACUGGAACUGACGGUGGAGCGGUGAAAUGCGUAGAUAUCGUCAGGAACGCCAAUGGUGAAGACAGGUGACUGGGCCGGAUCUGACACUGAGGCACGAAAGCGUGGGGAGCGAGCGGG